AUUGAACGCUGGCGGCAUGCUUUACACAUGCAAGUCGAACGGUAACAGGCCUUCGGGUGCUGACGAGUGGCGAACGGGUGAGUAAUGCAUCGGAACGUGCCCAAUCGUGGGGGAUAACGUAGCGAAAGUUACGCUAAUACCGCAUAAGCCCUGAGGGGGGAAAGUGGGGGACCGCAAGGCCUCACGCGAAUGGAGCGGCCGAUGUCAGAUUAGCUAGUUGGUGGGGUAAAGGCCCACCAAGGCGACGAUCUGUAGCGGGUCUGAGAGGAUGAUCCGCCACACUGGGACUGAGACACGGCCCAGACUCCUACGGGAGGCAGCAGUGGGGAAUUUUGGACAAUGGGCGCAAGCCUGAUCCAGCCAUGCCGCGUGCGGGACGAAGGCC
rnacentral:rRNA from 1 species